UACGUAGGGUGCAAGCGUUAAUCGGAAUUACUGGGCGUAAAGCGUGCGCAGGCGGUUGUGCAAGACAGAUGUGAAAUCCCCGGGCUCAACCUGGGAAUUGCAUUUGUGACUGCACGGCUAGAGUGUGUCAGAGGGGGGUAGGAAUUCCACGUGUAGCAGUGAAAUGCGUAGAGAUGUGGACGGAAUGACCGAUGGCGAAGGCAGCCCCCUGGGAUACACUGACGCUCAUGCACGAAAGCGUGGAGAGCAAACAGG
rnacentral:rRNA from 1 species